rnacentral:rRNA from 1 species
UCUCUCCUUGAUUUUAUAGGGAGUACCGCCUGCUCAAUGCAUUGUAAAUAGCCGCAGUAUCCUGACUGUGCUAAGGUAGCAUAAUCAUUAGUCUCUUAAUUAGAGGCUGGUAUGAAUGGUGAGACGAGAAAAAAGCUGUCUCUGAAAUAAAUAUUGAAUUUCAUUUUUAAGUGAAAAAGCUUAAAUGCAUUUGGGGGACGAUCAGACCCUUUGGAGCUUUAUUGUAAUAAGAUUUUAGGUUAAUUGAUAACAAUAAUUUUAUUAUAAUUUUGUUGGGGCGACAGAAAGUUAAAAGAUACCACUUUUUCUAUUAAACAUAAAUUUAUGGAAAAUUGAUCCCUGAUGAGGGCUUAAAAGACUAAGUUACCCUAGGGAUAACAGCGUAAUCUUUUUGGAGAGUUCAUAUCGAUAAAAAGGUUUGCGACCUCGAUGUUGGAUUAAGAAAUUAGCAAGGUGCAGAAGUUUUGCUGGAAAGUCU